rnacentral:rRNA from 1 species
AAGAGUACGUGAAACCGUUCAGGGGUAAACCUGUGAAACCCAAAAGAUCGAAUGAGGAGAUUCAUCGUCAGCUUAUUCAGUAUUAAUGCAAGCUAUGAUGUGAUAAUAGAAUCCUUGUGGUCACUAGAUUAUACUUGCUUGUAUUAUUUUUGCUGGGUAUGUCGGCGUGCACUUCUCCUCUAGUAGAACGUCGUAACCCGUUGGAUGUUUAUCUAUGGCUUGAAUGGUAGCCUUUGAUAUUUUUUAUAUUGAAGACCUUUGAUGUCCUGAUAAACUGUUUGACGGUAUACAUAUGGUAUUGAGCCGCAAUUAUUUGCGUUAGACUUAUCGCAAGUAUGACUUUAUUCUAGUAGUGCGGAUCUAAUGCCGUCGCUGGACAAAGUCUGCUGUUAGCUGUGUAAUGUCUUUAACUGGCUUAUUUACCGGUUAGCGAUGCUACUGCUUUGGGUAC